GGUGCCAUUGCUUGGCUUUGAGCCUCAGUGGAUGAGUUUUGCUGCUAAGGCGUGUGGCUCAGCGGGUUCGGACUCUUAAUCACAAGGCUGCCAGGUUAAAUCCUGUGGUUGACACAAUGGUUUCCCUCUUUAGCCCCUGAGAAAGGCCCUUAAGAUUCAAGAUUUUUUAUUGUUCACACAGUGUGGUGUUUAUUUUCCCCGAACUUUGAGGCUCAUCUCUUCUGUUUACUAUAAGUGACAAAGAGCCAGCUGGGUGUGUGGAGUCUUGAUGGCAUUUGUGUAGAUUUAAUUACCUUUUUUUUAGCAUUUGGACAUCCUCUGCGCAGCAGCAAUGAUGCUGUACAAAUGUUUGUAUAUAGCCCCAGACUCCAGGUUCCAAAUACAGGGCUACAGACUAUUUUUUCCCACUAAUAGCACUAGUGAUCCUAACUGAAACUUAAAAGCACUACCAAAAAAAAAGGUGCACUACUUAACUACCUGGAGACAGGGCAUCAUGAGUGAUGUAGUUAAAGUGUCUGUUUAUGACUGGUCAAUCUUUAUAGAAUCAUGAAAAACGAUGACCAAAUGCAUAAUAAUUUUUCAAAACUCCUAUUGCCAGAUUCACUUUUUUGCCGAUUUAACUUUAUUGUAAAAGCUGUCACGUUACUUAGUUUUACCUGAAUCGUGGGCAUGAAGUACUGCCCUCACCUUGAGGAUCUGUAUUCACGUCGUACGUGUACAUCUAUGGUAAUACAGUACAUGGUAAUUAUCCUCGUUGUUUCUGCGAGUGUGACGCAAUGCAGAUUUAUCUCCAUGGUGUCACCACAAUAAAACGUGAUCCUGGUGGAAACUCAAUCUAACACAUUCCACUCUGGACAGGAACAGAAGGCACCACAGGCUUUUUGGAAAUUGGCUUGGUCCAGCUGUAGAUGACCUCAGUGCUUUUUUUAACCGUAAUUAUGUGUGUAAAGUUGAGAAUUUUACUGUACAUGUGCUUAUCAUAAUUAUAUUUUGCUCAUUCUGUGGUUGGUUACAGAUUCACUAAUAUAGUCUAAAUAAAAUCAAAAUCUACUACUGAAAUCGUAUUCUAUAAAUCAUAAUUUAGCAUCAUUGUAAUUAAACAUCACAAAAAUAUGUAUAGACGAAAACUGACCUGUACCCCACCUUGGAACAUCGGUCAAACAGGAUGACGCUGGUUCAAGAUGAGAAAAAGAUGACCUUCCCCAAACCCCCAAGACAACUGCUGGACCAAUCCACUGCCCCGGCCUUUGCAGAAAGAUGCCUCUGUGCCGAUGGGAUUCCAGCACCGUCCCACCAGCAGUGCCUGGGGACAUUGGUUGCAACACUUGUGUAGGCUGGGCAAGUCCAAGGAGCUCAGAAGUCUGAGGCAUCCUCAUCCACCAAGUUUCCCUCCUCCAUCCAGUCCUCCUCCACCUCACAGCUGCCCUUCAUCAAAGCACUGUCUCACACCAAGGCGUCCUCCUCCAAGGCAACCUGCACUACCCAGUCACUGUCCUCCUCCCAUACCUCCUCCCCCACCCAGCUGACUCCUCUCAGGCACCCACCUACAGAUCUUCACCCAGCAAGGAGCCUCUGCCCUCAGUGAAGCUGAAGGAGUCCACAGCCCUAAAGAGCCUUUGUCCACUGUCUGCACCUUUUCUGUCAAAUCAUUUCCCAAGCAAUAUUCUUGUAUGUAAACAGAUUGUACAUAGUAAUGAAACUAUGUAUUACUAUGUAGUAAUGUGCUGUGUGUACACAACUACACAUACAUAACCAUUUGCAUAAAUAUGUAUUUAAGUAUAAUAUUCCAGCAGGCAGAUCAGCCCGUGCCCUUGAUUUUAUAUGGGGAUCGGGGGUGUCGCCGGGCACAGGGACCGACCAGCUCUUGGGUGGACAGUGGAAUGGUGGUGCGGUUGGACAUAUUUCACUGGAGACAUCGGUUUGAUGCAGCCGUCCAUACUGACAGCCAUUCCAAAUACACCACUUUCAAGUCUGCACUCGCUGGAGGAGUCCUGGCCUACAAUCGAGAAGAUCUGGAGCUCCUCAUCAAAGCUGUCAGGGCACAGAAUUCUGUGAUGUUUGCAUCCCUUUCAGACGAAGGUGUUGUUCGCCUCCAUGUGUCCCGGGCGCAGCUCAAGCCCCAUGUGCGGAGAGUUACACUCGGGGUGCAGGAGUCAUUCCACCUGAUCCAGACAGCCAUCGAUGAGCUGAAAGGCCCCCAGUGGGCUGGAUGAAAAUGGAGUCAGCCUCUUCAAAUCACCUGGAGCCGUAGAUGAGGUGUGGCCGUCCCAUCAGGGACACGAUGGAGGGCAUACAGGACCCUCCAGGAACGAGCAUGUAUAAAGGGGCUCGCUCUACCACCAUCAGUGGUGUAGACGUUCCAUUUCGUGGUUUCAUGUUCCUUCGUGGUAGCAACAGCCUGGAGAGUUUCCACAAAGUACUGCCCAACAUGAUUCCAGGUAAGAUGUAUUAUAAUUAUAUGUCACGAAUAAAUUUGACAAUUCAGCCACUUAAACACCACCUCCUUUCCUAUGAUGUCAUGAAGCUGCCAGUUGAGACAGCUUUUUCAAACCAGUUAGUUUUCUCUCCAUUUCAGUGCAUCUUGUCAUCUCAGGUCCCCUCUGUGCCACACGGCCCUUUCAGGUCUACCUGAUUAGCAGUAUCGCCCGCUGGAACUCGGACAGGUCGUCAGAUGCCGUUUAUGGUGGCAAAGGUUGGCAUCACUUGGCAAAGGUCGGCACCACUGAUUGCCAGGUUGAACGCCUGCAGCCAGCAACUGUUUGGGGAGACUGUGGAGAAGAACUUCUGUGCCCCUGCUGCUGUGACAUCGAAUGAGCUGCUUGCGCUGGAGUACCUCUUCAGUCAGAGCACAGGGGAAUCGGGUCUGUUCACGUUCAAAGACCUGUCAAGUGACGGACUUGCUGAAGAGGUGAUUGAGGUUGGCCAGCUUGACCCGGGUGAGGAAGACUAGGCUUACGAGACUCACCAGCAGUGAGACCAGCGAAACCAACCCUCCUGCUUUUGUCUCAAUUGUUUCAGGAUUAUGUAUGUAUGGUUAAUUUUCAUGCAGUCACUUCAGCUGCACAAGUUAAAUUAUUACAUUCUAUUUUUUAACAGGAGAAUGUCUGUCUUCUUGUCUCCUGCCUGGAUACAGGCAGCUGGAAACCUGCUCUCUGCUGGUAGACAUUGGUCUGACUGAGCACCACUUAACACUGACCUCAGAACAGAGGAGCAGUUUGACGCCUGGAAUGCCAUGGAGGAACACAAGCAGCCCCAGAGGGUUAACCAGCUGUACAAAACGCACUGGGGAAACAGUCUGUACUGCUGCACCAAGCGGGGUGAUCUUGUUGAGGCUGGCAUGAUUCAGCGAGUUAAGAUGGAGAAACGCUACAUGCCAGCUCAACAAGACAUCAGUGCGCAGAACAACUGGCUAAUGUACAAGCUGGUUAAACUGCUUUGGUUGAGGCUAUCUGGAAAUUGACAGUCCAGCCCUGGGAAAAAAAAACAAAUCGUAAAAGCUUACGAGAAGAUUCAGCACAGGGUUUUGGUGAAGGAUCCGGUGCUGAGCAAAAUGGGCAUCCCUUUGCCAAAAAUGAACACGAAAGACGGUGUGUGACUUUAACCGCCAGCAAGAGUGACAGAAUUCAGUCAACCAAGAUGCCUCUGAGCAUUUCAAGCAUAACAUCAGUAUCGUCGACACCUUCCUCCAGCACCAAGCCAACCACCAGUUCUCCCUCCCGAAUUAUACUGAAGUUGAGUACAGCUCGAUGCACAGCAAAGCAGGGACCAAGGCGUUGAGAGAUGUUUUCAUGCCUACAAAAAAGAUGGCACUCAUGUCUCAUGAGGUCUUCUUCUGCAACAGGGAAGAAAAUGCCAGCCACCUCCAGCAUCAUCAAACCCACAUCGGCAGUCAGAUCGACAAGCACUAUGCCAACAUUAAUGCCCGCCAGCCAGACAGACACCACACAGCUGGAAUGCUCCUACUCAAGAGCCACAGACUACAAAAGAAAGCAUGCCGGUCAACUAAUGGAUGCUGGUGCGAAACUGUCACAAGUUCAAAACUUACCCAUC